rnacentral:snRNA from 1 species
GGAUGUGAGGGUGAUCUGGCUGUGACAUCUGUCACCCCCAUUGAUCACCAGGGUUGAUUCAGCUGAUCUGGCUAGCUAGGCGGGUGUCCUCUUCCUCCCUCACCGCUCCAUGUGUGUCCCUCCAGAAGCUGUGCAUUAGGUCAAAGAGGACGACCUUCCCAGAAUAGAGAAGGACCUAUCUUCAGUCAAGGGUAUACAAGUAGCUGUGCUCUCCUGCUAGAUUCUCCAAACAAGCUCUCAAGGUCCAAGCAGUUUUGAUGACAAUGUCCCUAUAAUACAAUUUGAGAUCUGGGAGUGUGAUGCCUUCUGUUCUGUUCUUU